AACGAACGCUGGCGGCAGGCUUAACACAUGCAAGUCGAACGCCCCGCAAGGGGAGUGGCAGACGGGUGAGUAACGCGUGGGAAUCUACCCAGUUCUACGGAACAACUGAGGGAAACUUCAGCUAAUACCGUAUACGCCCUACGGGGGAAAGAUUUAUCGGAAUUGGAUGAGCCCGCGUUGGAUUAGCUAGUUGGUGAGGUAACGGCUCACCAAGGCGACGAUCCAUAGCUGGUCUGAGAGGAUGAUCAGCCACACUGGGACUGAGACACGGCCCAGACUCCUACGGGAGGCAGCAGUGGGGAAUAUUGGACAAUGGGCGCAAGCCUGAUCCAGCCAUGCCGCGUGAGUGAUGAAGGCCUUAGGGUUGUAAAGCUCUUUCAGUGGGGACGAUAAUGACGGUACCCACAGAAGAGGCCCCGGCUAACUUCGUGCCAGCCGCCGCCGUAAUAC
rnacentral:rRNA from 1 species